rfam:Ovis aries breed Texel chromosome 6, whole genome shotgun sequence.
UCCCUCAUAGUUAAGUUGGUAAAGAAUCUGCCUGCAAUGCAGAUGACCCGGGUUCGAUUCCUGGGUCGGGAA